AGUGAACGCUGGCGGCAGGCCUAAUACAUGCAAGUCGAACGGCAGCACAGUGGAGCUUGCUCCAUGGGUGGCGAGUGGCGGACGGGUGAGGAAUACAUGGGAAUCUGCCCAGUCGUGGGGAUAACGUAGGGAAACUUACGCUAAUACCGCAUGCGCCUUCGGGGGAAAGCCGGGGACCGUAAGGCCUGGCGCGAUUGGAUGAGCCCAUGUCGGAUUAGCUAGUUGGCGGGGUAAAGGCCCACCAAGGCGACGAUCCGUAGCUGGUCUGAGAGGAUGAUCAGCCACACUGGAACUGAGACACGGUCCAGACUCCUACGGAGGCAGGCAGUAGGG
rnacentral:rRNA from 1 species